GCUGUAGCUCAGUUGGUUAGAGCGCUGCACCGGAAUCGCAGUGCCGUAGGUUCAAUUCCUACCACA
rnacentral:tRNA from 1 species